AGUGUCGAGGCGUCAUACCCGGAGGGAAUUGUUUGUUCCUCAGUACGGGGGUGAGCAGGGAAGGCAUGUUUAUAAGGUUGUGUUUACUAGUUACUCUGUCCCAUAUUUGUAGGGACGUCCUCAGGGCCGGCGUGGUCUGGGGCAUUUCCGGUCGGUGAUGUUUCGGCACCCAAAAGUAUAACGAUGGGUGGUCUUUGCCAAAAAGGUCGUGCUCUAAGUCUACCCAUAGCUUGACCCCAGCCGGUGCACGGAGGGUUUGGAUCUGUGCUAGUUGGGCCGCUUGGUGGUAGUCCC